rnacentral:rRNA from 2 species
GGGGAAUAUUGCGCAAUGGGGGAAACCCUGACGCAGCAAUACCGCGUGAGUGAAGAAGGUUUUCGGAUCGUAAAGCUCUGUUAUUUGGGAAGAAUAAAAGACGGUACCCAAGCAGAAAGUCCCGGCUAACUACGUGCCAGCAGCCGCGGUAAUACGUAGGGGACAAGCGUUGUCCGGAAUUACUGGGCGUAAAGCGUGCGUAGGCGGCUUGUUAAGUUGGAUGUGAAAUACCCGGGCUCAACCUGGGGGGUGCAUUCGAUACUGGCAGGCUAGAGUGCAGGAGAGGGAAGCGGAAUUCCUAGUGUAGCGGUGAAAUGCGUAGAUAUUAGGAGGAACACCAGUGGCGAAGGCGGCCUUCUGGACUGUAACUGACGCUGAUGCACGCAAGCGUGGGGAGCAAACA